UACGUAGGCAGCGAGCGUUGUUCGGAAUUACUGGGCGUAAAGAGUGUGUAGGCGGUGCUCUAAGUUCGGUGUGAAAUCUCGGGGCUUAACUCCGAAACUGCAUUCGAUACUGCCGUGCUUGAGGACUGGAGAGGAGACUGGAAUUUACGGUGUAGCGGUGAAAUGCGUAGAUAUCGUAAGGAAGACCAGUGGCGAAGGCGGGUCUCUGGACAGUUCCUGACGCUGAGGCACGAAGGUCAGGGGAGCAAACGGG
rnacentral:rRNA from 1 species